AACGAACGCUGGCGGUAUGCUUAACACAUGCAAGUCGCACGGAUUUAGGGAGCUUGCUCCCAAAAGUUAGUGGCAGACGGGUGAGUAACGCGUGGGAGUCUGCCUAUCAGUAGGGAAUAACAUUUGGAAACAAAUGCUAAUACCCUAUACGCUCUUCGGAGGAAAGAUUUAUCGCUGAUAGAUGAGGCCGCGUCGGAUUAGGUAGUUGGUAGGGUAAUGGCCUACCACGCCGACGAUCUGUAGCUGGUCUGAGAGGAUGAUCAGCCACACUGGGACUGAGACACGGCCCAGACUCCUACGGGAGGCAGCAGUGGGGAAUAUAGGACAAUGGGCGAAAGCCUGAUCCAGCAAUACCGCGUGAGUGAUGAAGGCCUUAGGGUUGUAAAGCCCUUUCAGUUGGAAAGAUAAUGACGGUACCAACAGAAGAAGCCCCGGCUAACUACGUGCCAGCAGCCGCGGUAA
rnacentral:rRNA from 1 species